rnacentral:rRNA from 1 species
AGAGUUUGAUCCUGGCUCAGGACGAACGCUGGCGGCGUGCUUAACACAUGCAAGUCGAACGAGAUCCACGGUGUAGCAAUACACCUGAAGAUCUAGUGGCGAACGGGUGCGUAACACGUGAGGAACUUGUCCCGGUCUCUGGGAUAACAGUUGGAAACGACUGCUAAUACCGGAUGACGUCGGAGCAUCGCAUGGUGCGCUGACGAAAGGGUUACUGGAUCGGGAGAGCCUCGCGGCCUAUCAGCUUGUUGGUGGGGUAACGGCCCACCAAGGCAUCGACGGGUAGCUGGUCUGAGAGGAUGAUCAGCCACACUGGGACUGAGACACGGCCCAGACUCCUACGGGAGGCAGCAGUGGGGAAUCUUGCGCAAUGGGCGAAAGCCUGACGCAGCAACGCCGCGUGCGGGAUGAAGGCUCUCGGGUUGUAAACCGCUUUCAGCAGGAACGAAAAUGACGGUACUGCAGUAGAA